rnacentral:rRNA from 1 species
CCUACGGGAGGCAGCAGUGGGGAAUAUUGGGCAAUGGACGCGAGUCUGACCCAGCAACGCCGCGUGAAGGAAGAAGGCUUUCGGGUUGUAAACUUCUUUUAAGGGGGAAGAGCAGAAGACGGUACCCCUUGAAUAAGCCACGGCUAACUACAUGCCAGCAGCCGCGGUAAUACGUAGGUGGCAAGCGUUUUCCGGAUUUACUGGGGGUAAAGGGCGUGCAGCCGGAGAGGCAAGUCAGAUGUGAAAUCCGCGGGCUCAACUGGCGACCUGCAUGUGAAACUGCUUACCUUGAGUAUCGGAGAGGUAAUCGGAAUGCCUAGUGUAGCGGUGAAAUGCGUAGAUAUUAGGAAGAACACCAGUGGCGAAGGCGGAUUACUGGACGACAACUGACGGUGAGGCGCGAAAGCGUGGGGAGCAAACAGGAUUAGAUACCCUGGUAGUC